AUAUCGGUAUGUUGUGUACACUCUCAUUGCUCCAGUAGUGCUGUUGUUUUUUGCGAAUGUGAAAUAACCCUUUAAACAUUUUGAAGUUAUGAAGCCUUUACAGGACAAACACUGCAUCUGUAAUGUUCUGAGUUUUGUGUUCCAGCAAACUUUAGUGUCUUUUAUUUUGAAAGAGAUUUCAUUUGAAUGUAUUUAAUUAUUUUUGUAAUUUUAUGUUUUUCUUAUCAAUCCAUAUAAUUUUCAUUUUUUUAUAUAGCACAAGGAAAGAAAACAAUGUACUUUGUAAAAAGUUAGUUUACAUUGGUGUGACGUCACUUAGAGGCGCUGUUACGUCUGACUCUCAGUUCUACAUGUGACUGAAGAGAGUCAGACAGACUGUUGGUGAGAGGAUGUGUGUGUGAUCCCAUGUCUUUUGUUUAAUAAACUGCAGGUAUGUAAACCACAAACCACUAUAGGAUCACAUAAUUGAGUGAAAUUGGCCAAAUAUUGUCUGAUCAGUGUGUUUCAUGUGUAAUGUAAAGGAAAAGUGUACAUGUUGAGUUUUUGAGAAUGUUGAGAAUUUUAUUUUCUAUAAUUUUUAUGUAUAUUUGUGUAAGAAAUGUAAGAGACUAUCAGAUGGACUUUAUUCAGGACUCUCAGUUCUACAUGUGACUGAAGAGAGUCAGACAGACUGUUGGUGAGAGGAUGUGUGUGUGAUCCCGUGUCUUUUGUUUAAUAAACUGCAGACGUGAUUCACCAAAGAGCCUGGAGUCGGUGUGUCAUUUGUGGUGCUGGGUGAAAUCCGCUACA